UUUGUACGGUAAAUUCCCCUUAAAAAACUCCCUGAUGGAUGGCAGAGUCAGAAAAUGGCACCAUUGAAAUCACUGGAGGCUCAGUACGGCAUUUUGGACUCCAAUUUCCAAUCUUUUUGUGCUUCCAACGGCAUUUUCACCGUUGAAGAUUUCCUCCUACAUGACCUCAGUGUUUUGGCUGCAUUUGCAGAACAAGAGCCCACCUCAGAGAGAUUGAAAGAGGGGAUCACCCAAGUCCUUUCUAUCAUAGACAGGCAGCACCAGCCAUGGUUGAAUGGCUUGCAGUUGUUGGAAGAUGCUCAACAGAAUAAACAUGUUUUAUCUACUGGAUUUAAGGGGAUUGAUAAGCUUCUUGAAGGUGGAUUGAGGGAGGGACAAUUGACUGAAUUGGUUGGGCCAUCAUCAUCUGGUAAAACCCAAGUAAGAACUAUUUUCAUUUGUAGUUUCAAGUGCACAUGUUGAUAUAAUGAAUACUUUUUAUUUGAGAUUUUGAGAAUCUAGCAAGUCUUGGGAGUUGAGCCUGGUAUACAAUCACUGUAUGAAAUGCAAUUACAUCACCUUCCAUGGGAGUGCAUAUUUAUAGGCUUUAAAUGUUUAAGAUUUUUAUUUGAAUAUGAUUACUCAGUGUCUUUUACAAGAUUUAGUUACUCUCUCAAAUUCUUGGUCAUGUUAAGCUUUGCUUACGAGUAGCUGCAAAUGUUGCGAUACAACACAAGGGUAGAGUUAUUUUCUUGGAUACAGGCAACUCUUUCUCACCCCGACGGAUUGAACACUUUGUUCGUCAGAUCUCUGGUUCUGUGUUUAAUGAGGUCAAAUAUUUUUUUGGUUUAUUCUCUUCCUUUAUUUUUUCAUUGUUUGUUUAGUCUGCCAUCCUCACAUGUGAACAUCUUCUACAACUAUCUUUCCCUUGUUAAUUUUUCCCAAAACAUUGUUCAGAAGGUAAUGAGCAAUAUAUUGUGCCACUCUACGUUUGACAUCUUUUCAAUGUUUGAUGUGCUACAUCAGCUAGAGAACAGUUUGAAAUCCCAGGUAUCCAUUAAGAUGAAGCAAUCUGUCUUGUGACUUUUUUUGGACCAUUUCAUUUUCAUGUCAUUCAACAUUUAUUGCUGGUUCAGGGGCACAAAGGAGAUUGUAAAGCACGGACACUAAUUGUUGAUUCGAUCUCAUCAUUGAUUACUCCUAUCCUUGGAGGAAGUGGUCCACAAGGACAUGCUCUGAUGACAUCUGCUGGCUUUUUAUUGAAGAAGUUAGCACAUGAGCUUAAUAUUGCAGUACUGGUGACCAAUCAUAUGGUGGCUGGAGAGGGAGGUAAUCUUAAACCAGCUCUUGGAGAGAGUUGGAAGAGCAUCCCACAUGUGAGGCUUCUGCUCUCCCGUGACCAGGGAAACAAAGCCUGCAGUAUUUCCAUACUAAAACACCCUUCCCUAGCUUCUGGUGAGGUUGCAAGAUUUGUGAUUGAUGACUAAUUGAAGGAUUGAUUUGUAACUUCUUAUUGUUGUAUCUAAUAGUCCUUCAGGCUCUUCUUAGUAAUGAAACUGGCACAAAUAUUUUUUUCCUUUUAAUUGCCCUAUUCUGAACAUGGGGGAAAGAGCAUUCAAACUUUGGCUUAUUGAUCUAAUAUAUCUUGUACUAUUCCAC
rnacentral:misc_RNA from 1 species